rnacentral:rRNA from 1 species
GAUGAACGCUGGCGGCGUGCUUAACACAUGCAAGUCGAACGGAGAAAGGGUAGCUUGCUAUCUUUUCUUAGUGGCGGACGGGUGAGUAACGCGUGGGUAACCUGCCCUUUGCAGGGGGAUAACAGUGAGAAAUCACUGCUAAUACCGCAUACCAACUUCUUCGCAUGAAGGAAGUUUGAAAGAUUUAUCGGCAAAGGAUGGACCCGCGUUGGAUUAGCUAGUUGGUGAGAUAACAGCCCACCAAGGCAACGAUCCAUAGCCGGCCUGAGAGGGUGAACGGCCACACUGGGACUGAGACACGGCCCAGACUCCUACGGGAGGCAGCAGUGGGGAAUAUUGCACAAUGGGCGAAAGCCUGAUGCAGCGACGCCGCGUGAAGGAUGAAGGUCUUCGGAUUGUAAACUUCUAUCAGCAGGGAAGAAAGGGCUUAUAGCCUAUGACGGUACCUGACUAAGAAGCCCCGGCUAACUACGUG